UACGAAGGGGGCUAGCGUUGUUCGGAAUCACUGGGCGUAAAGCGCACGUAGGCGGAUGUGCCAGUCAGGGGUGAAAUCCCGGAGCCCAACUUCGGAACUGCCUCUGAUACAGCACGUCUUGAGUCCGGAAGAGGUGGGUGGAAUUCCUAGUGUAGAGGUGAAAUUCGUAGAUAUUAGGAAGAACACCUGUGGCGAAGGCGGCCCACUGGUCCGGUACUGACGCUGAGGUGCGAAAGCGUGGGGAGCGAACAGG
rnacentral:rRNA from 1 species